UACGUAGGCAGCGAGCGUUGUUCGGAGUUACUGGGCGUAAAGGGUGUGUAGGCGGUUGUUUAAGUUUGGUGUGAAAUCUCCCGGCUCAACUGGGAGGGUGCGCCGAAUACUGAAUGACUAGAGUGCGGGAGAGGUGAGUGGAAUUCCUGGUGUAGCGGUGAAAUGCGUAGAUAUCAGGAGGAACACCGGUGGUGUAGACGGCUCACUGGACCGUAACUGACGCUGAGGCACGAAAGCGUGGGUAGCAAACAGG
rnacentral:rRNA from 1 species